rnacentral:rRNA from 1 species
UACGUAGGUGGCGAGCGUUAUCCGGAAUGAUUGGGCGUAAAGGGAGCGUAGGCGGAUUUUUAAGUGAGAUGUGAAAUACUCGGGCUCAACUUGAGUGCUGCAUUUCAAACUGGAAGUCUAGAGUGCAGGAGAGGAGAAUGGAAUUCCUAGUGUAGCGGUGAAAUGCGUAGAGAUUAGGAAGAACACCAGUGGCGAAGGCGAUUCUCUGGACUGUAACUGACGCUGAGGCUCGAAAGCGUGGGGAGCAAACAGG